GGGGUCAGUGUAAGCGAGGCACGAACAAAGUUUAAGUUUAAGGCGUUCCACAGGAAAAAUGUACGUCAUUUUUAUCGUUUUAAUUCUUGUUUAAUGAUUGCUAACUUGUUUCCUAAUUUUUCAGGUGAGAAAUUAUGCAUGCGUCACACAAUGAAGUAGCAAAUCGCAAAUUUUCCUAACUCGAAACUUUAAGUAGACUGAUGCCGAUUUGCUGAAACCAAAAUGAGACAUGUUUCGACCCAUCGACACAACGUUAAACUUUUACGACGGUAACUAAAAUGACAUCAAACAAGAACUGGGAUUAGGGACUGAGACUCCACUUAAAUAGCCCACUUUACGAUUCCGCUCUACUUUCUCCCGAACCUCCAAGUCCUACGUGAGAGCAGAACCCGAAAGAAGUAAAAGGGGUUACCUCAAUCAACACAACAACUUGGUUGAAAGGCAGUCAGUGUUGCUGAUGUUCCUGGAUUCCGCCUUACACCAAAACCAGCCAGUUGAACCGAAAUUCAAUACACCGCCAAUCGAUCGCUCUGUACUUACACUAACAUGUAAUGGAACUUUAUUUUUAUGUCACCCAACUGACGUUAUUCGGUUCUAAACUUUAAUAAU